GACGAACGCUGGCGGCGUGCCUAAUACAUGCAAGUAGAACGCAUUUGCGAACGGGUGCGUAACGCGUAGGUACCUUCCUGGUAGUGGCGGUUAACUAUUGGAAACGAUAGCUAAUACCGCCUACUUUCAGUUGCUCCUGCGUGGUACUAGCUUGUAGGUGGGGUAACGGCUCAUCAAGGCCACCAUACAUAGCCGACCUGAGAGGGUGAUCGGCCAAACUGGGACUGAGACACGGCCCAGACUCCUACGGGAGGCAGCAGGAGGGAAUCUUCGGCAAUGGAGGGAAGUCUGACCGAGCAACGCCGCGUGAGUGAAGAAGGUUUUCGGAUCGUAAAGCUCUGUUGUAAGAGAAGCGGUAUCUUACCAGAAAGGGACGGCUAACUACGUGCCAGCAGCCGCGGUAAUUC
rnacentral:rRNA from 1 species